rnacentral:rRNA from 1 species
CCUACGGGGGCUGCAGUGGGGAAUAUUGGACAAUGGGCGAAAGCCUGAUCCAGCCAUGCCGCGUGUGUGAAGAAGGCCUUCGGGUUGUAAAGCACUUUCAGUGGGGAAGAAAGCCUUGGGGCUAAUACCCUCGAGGAAGGACAUCACCCACAGAAGAAGCACCGGCUAACUCCGUGCCAGCAGCCGCGGUAAUACGGAGGGUGCGAGUGUUAAUCGGAAUUACUGGGCGUAAAGCGCGCGUAGGUGGUCUGAUAAGCCGGUUGUGAAAGCCCCGGGCUCAACCUGGGAACGGCAUCCGGAACUGUCAGGCUAGAGUGCAGGAGAGGAAGGUAGAAUUCCCGGUGUAGCGGUGAAAUGCGUAGAGAUCGGGAGGAAUACCAGUGGCGAAGGCGGCCUUCUGGACUGACACUGACGCUGAGGUGCGAAAGCGUGGGUAGCAAACAGGAUUAGAUACCCUAGUAGUG